CAGUAGCCGCGGUAAUACGUAGGGUGCAAGCGUUAAUCGGAGUUACUGGGCGUAAAGCGUGCGCAGGCGGUUUGUUAAGACAGAUGUGAAAUCCCCGGGCUUAACCUGGGAACUGCAUUUGUGACUGGCAAGCUAGAGUGUGGCAGAGGGGGGUGGAAUUCCGCGUGUAGCAGUGAAAUGCGUAGAUAUGCGGAGGAACACCGAUGGCGAAGGCAGCCCCCUGGGCCAACACUGACGCUCAUGCACGAAAGCGUGGGGAGCAAACAGGAUUAGAUACCCCUGUAGUCCCUGUCUCUUAUAC
rnacentral:rRNA from 1 species